rnacentral:ncRNA from 1 species
UUUAAAGAGUGCGUAAUAGCUCACUGAUCGAGCGCCCUUGCGCUGAAGAUGAACGGGGCUAAGCGAUCUGCCGAAGCUGUGGGAUGUCAAAAUGCAUCGGUAGGGGAGCGUUCCGCCUUAGAGGGAAGCAACCGCGAAAGCGGGGGUCGACGAGGCGGAAGCGAGAAUGUCGGCUUGAGUAACGAAAACAUUGGUGAGAAUCCAAUGCCCCGAAAACCCAAGGUUUCCUCCGCAAGGUUCGUCCACGGAGGGUGAGUCAGGGCCUAAGAUCAGGCCGAAAGGCGUAGUCGAUGGACAACAGGUCAAUCUUCCUGUACUACCCCUUGUUGGUACGGAGGGACGGAGGAGGCUAGG